ACUAGCAAAUGAGGUUUGUCGUGUCAUGGAUGAUUAUAUAUGUUCAGUGGAAUGUAUUAAAUAUAUUUAUAAAUAAAAUGUACGUUCAACUAUUCAUCCAUGGAUUUCAGAUAGCUUAUUGUAUCUUAUCGAAUAUUUAAUGAGUUAAAUUCAUUAAAUACUUGUUUGGUUUGGAUAAAAUUUAGAUAUUUAGCCUUGUUUGGU
rnacentral:lncRNA from 1 species